rnacentral:tRNA from 1 species
GCUUUUAAAGGAUAACAGUUAUCCAUUGGUCUUAGGAACCAAAAACUCUUGGUGCAAAUCCAAGUAAAAGCU